GGAGGAUGAGCAGCAGCAACAAAUGAACCUGAUAGUGAAGAAGCACCUGAUGACCAGAACUCGUUCAAGUGCUCUUUAGUCCUUCCAAAGCAAGGAGCUUUGGGCCUAAUUUUUUUGGAGUGUGAAGCCAUGAAGCCAAGUGCGAAUCAGUGAAGCCCUACUUAGCAAAGAGUUUUUUUUGGUUCUAUAGUAGACUGUAAAUUGUAAUAUUGUAUCAGAUUGUAAAAGACUAAUGUAGUGUUAUUUGAUGAAUUAUAUUUGUCCCGUCCUAUUUGAAAUAGUGAUUAUGUAUGUUAAAAAGAUGUGAAAUGGAAACAUGACCAGCGGGACCAAUUUAUGCCCCAC